rnacentral:miRNA from 3 species
UCGGCCUGACCACCCACCCCAC